AGCGAACGCUGGCGGCAGGCCUAACACAUGCAAGUCGAACGGCAGUUCCGUGAGUGGUUGCGCAUGCGGGUGGAGCGCGGCGGAAGGGGGCGGUAUACAUCGGAUACUACAGUUUCACGGGGGAUAAUACAGGGAGAGUUACGCUGAGAACAGAUUAGUCCUCUGGGGGAAGGCCGGGGACUUUUUGGCCUUGCGCGUGUGGUAGUGCCGAUCUCGGAUUAGCUAGAUGGCCGGGUAAGGGCCGACCAAGGCGACGAUCCGUAGGUGGUCAGAGAGCAAGGACAGCCACACUGGAACUGAGACACGGUCCAGACUCCGACGGGAGGCAGCAGUGGGGAAUAUUGGGCAAGGGGCGCGAGCCUGAUCCAGCGAUACCGCGUGGGUGAAGAAGGCCUUCGGGUUGGAAAGCCCUUUUGUUGGGAAAGAAAAGCAGCAGUUUAAUACCCCGCUGUUCUGACGGUACCCAAAGAAGAAGCACCGGCUAACUUCGUG
rnacentral:rRNA from 1 species